rnacentral:rRNA from 1 species
ACAGUACUGACGCUGAGAUGCGAAGCGUGGGGAGCAAACAGGAUUAGAUACCUGGUAGUCCACGCUGUAAACGAUGUCGAUUUGGAGUUUGUUGCCUAGAGUGAUGGGCUCCGAAGCUAACGCGAUAAAUCGACCGCUGGGGAGUACGGCCGCAAGGUUAAAACUCAAAUGAAUUGACGGGGGCCCGCACAAGCGGUGGAGCAUGUGGUUUAAUUCGAUGCAACGCGAAGAACCUUACCUGGUCUUGACAUCCAUAGAAUUCUGCAGAGAUGUGGGAGUGCCUUCGGGAACUAUGAGACAGGUGCUGCAUGGCUGUCGUCAGCUCGUGUUGUGAAAUGUUGGGUUAAGUCCCGCAACGAGCGCAACCCUUAUUCUUUGUUGCCAGCGAUUUGGUCGGGAACUCAAAGGAGACUGCCGUUGAUAAAGCGGAGGAAGGUGGGGACGACGUCAAGUCAUCAUGGCCCUUACGACCAGGGCUACACACGUGCUACAAUGGCGUAUACAAAGGGAAGCGAAGGUGCGAGCUGGAGCGGAUCUCAUAAAGUACGUCUAAGUUCGGAUUGGAGUCUGCAACUCGACUCCAUGAAGUCGGAAUCGCUAGUAAUCGUAGAUCAGAAUGCUACGGUGAAUACGUUCCCGGGCCUUGUACACACCGCCCGUCACACCAUGGGAGUGGGUUGCACCAGAAGUAGAUAGCUUAACCGCGAGGGGGGCGUUUACCACGGUGUGAUUCAUGACUGGGGUGAAGUCGUAACAAGGUAACCA